GACGAACGCUGGCGGCGUGCUUAACACAUGCAAGUCGAACGUGAUUUUUGUGGAAAUUCUUUCGGGAAUGGAAAUGAAAUGAAAGUGGCGAACGGGUGAGUAACACGUGAGCAACCUACCUUACACAGGGGGAUAGCCGUUGGAAACGACGAUUAAUACCGCAUGAGACCACAGAAUCGCAUGAUAUAGGGGUCAAAGAUUUAUCGGUGUAAGAAGGGCUCGCGUCUGAUUAGCUAGUUGGAAGGGUAAAGGCCUACCAAGGCGACGAUCAGUAGCCGGUCUGAGAGGAUGAACGGCCACAUUGGAACUGAGACACGGUCCAAACUCCUACGGGAGGCAGCAGCGGGGAAUAUUGCACAAUGGGGGGAACCCUGAUGCAGCGACGCCGCGUGAGCGAAGAAGGUUUUCGAAUCGUAAAGCUCUGUCCUAUGAGAAGAUAAUGACGGUAUCAUAGGAGGAAGCCCCGGCUAAAUACGUGCCAGCAGCCGCGGUAAUACGUAUGGGGCGAGCGUUGUCCGGAAUUAUUGGGCGUAAAGGGUACGUAGGCGGUUUUUUAAGUCAGGUGUGAAAGCGUGAGGCUUAACCUCAUUAAGCACUUGAAACUGGAAGACUUGAGUGAAGGAGAGGAAAGUGGAAUUCCUAGUGUAGCGGUGAAAUGCGUAGAUAUUAGGAGGAAUACCGGUGGCGAAGGCGACUUUCUGGACUUUUACUGACGCUCAGGUACGAAAGCGUGGGGAGCAAACAGG
rnacentral:rRNA from 1 species